GGAAGUAAAAAGUCGUAACAAGGUCUCCGUAGGUGAACCUGCGGAGGGAUCAUU
rnacentral:rRNA from 1 species